UCGAACGAGGUCCAUCCGGUGGCACAACUGGUGAAGACCUAGUGGCGAACGGGUGAGUAACACGUGAGCAACCUGCCCCGAAGACUGGGAUAACACCGGGAAACCGGUGCUAAUACCGGAUACCCCCACCGGACCGCAUGUUCUGGUGAGGAAAUGGAUUCCGCUUCGGGAGGGACUCGCGGCCUAUCAGCUUGUUGGUGGGGUAACGGCCCACCAAGGCUCCGACGGGUAGCUGGUCUGAGAGGACGAUCAGCCACACUGGGACUGAGACACGGCCCAGACUCCUACGGGAGGCAGCAGUGGGGAAUCUUGCGCAAUGGGCGAAAGCCUGACGCAGCAACGCCGCGUGAGGGACGAAGGCCUUCUGGGUUGUAAACCUCUUUCAGCAGGGACGAUUAUGACGGUACCUGCAGAAGAAGCCCCGGCCAACUACGUG
rnacentral:rRNA from 1 species